UUGCUGUGAGCACUGCUAUCACUGAAUUUGCAUAUAGCACUGCCAAGCUAUAUAUAAUAAUUAUUGUAUAUUUAUCUCAUUUUGCUCCAUUAGGAUUAUUUUGCCUAUGAAUGAUUUUAAAAAUAAGAAAAUUAUUAAGAGAAAAGAAUUUUGGAGUGAUUUGAAGUUUUAUUUUAUUUUAUUUUUUUAAUAGAGACAGGGUUUCACCAUGUUGCCCAAGCUGGUCUUGAACUCCUGGAUUCAAGUGAUCUACCUACCUUGGCCUCCCAAAGUGCUGGGAUUACAGACAUAAGCCACCACACCCAGCCAGUGGUUUGAGGUUUGAAUCACAACUCUGUCACAUAUUGUAAUGGACAUCUGGUGUUUUUCCCAGUCCCAGCACCCACUCUUUUCUGGAAGCAGCACCUUUCUUUUUCCUUGGGGAAUUACCCCUUUCCUAGUUUGUGCCAAUAAUCAAGAUUCGUGUCCUCCCCUGAAAAACAGUGUCAUGUGGCCCAAGUGAGGCCAAUCAGAUUCAACCUCACAAAUUCCAGUUGCGAGCCAGGCGAUCAGGAAGAGAUUGGAGCUGAUCAUCCCUCUGGCAUGUUCCUGAAGAAAUGGGCCCACUCAUGCCUGCCAUCUGGAUGCUGGAAAUUACUCUAUUUCUUAUUCUUCCCAUGAUCCAGUUGUUCACCUUUGAUUCUGUUUUAUGUCACCAGGCAGUAGGAUCAUGAUCUGACAAUAAGAUGAAGAGGAACUGGUAAGUUCCUGCAAUAUAAUCUUUCAAAGGUGAGUGCAAAAUUCUGUUCAGUGUUUACUAGUCGCUAUUGGGGGUAGUUUGUAUUUUUUAGAACUGUCAGAUUAAUUAACUCCUGGUCCCUAAGAUAGCAAGCUUGGUUGACAGGAGGUUUUGUUUUUGUUUUGUUUUGUUUGAGAAGGAAGGUCUCACUCUGUCGCCCAGGCUGGAGUGCAGUAGCACAAUCAUAGCUCAUUGCAGCCUCCACCUCCAGGCCCAAGUGACCCUCCCACCUCAGCCUCCCAAGUAGCUGGGACCACAGGUGCAUGCCACUACACAUGGCUAAUUCUUUUCAUUUUUGUAGAGAUGGGAUUUCCCUAUGUUGCUCAGGCUAGUCUCAAACCCCCGGCCUCAAGCAAUUCUCCCACCGUGGCCUCCGAAAGUGUUAGGAAUACAGACAAGAGCCACCACGCUCAGCCAGGAAGAGUUUUACAAUAAGGGCCAGUGAAUGAGACCUGUAAUGAAAACACUCAAGAGUCUCAUUAGAGAAAACUUUAGAAUCAGGAUAAAAGAAAUCAGUUACUAUUAGCAUAAGGCUUGGAACUCAAGUCAUUCUUAUUUUUGGAAGACGAUCACUUUAUUCUAAGUAACACACAAAUAAAAUAAUAACAGCUAGUUUAACAGAAUAAAAUCAUAACAGCUAGUUUAAGGAGGCCACACAAACAUUGGCCCAGCCCUAAAUUCCUCACCAUCUUAAUGAAAUUCUACAUAGUAAGAACAGCGUCUUCCAUUUUAAUUCUGAAGGAAGAAAGCUAUGAAUGACA
rnacentral:lncRNA from 10 species